GCUCUGGUGGUUCCUGCUUGGCUGAACUGUGAUGCAUUGGAGGUUCCACUGAGAUGGGUUGAGGGUGUGGGCACAUUCCACCCGCCUUCAACCAGUACGACUGGUCACGAGUGUAAGAAGUGGCUCCAGGUUCGAGUCCUGCGGGCUGAGGCAGCUUCUUACAUCACUGCGUGUUCCUGGAGCAGGCUCGUCAGAUCUCACGAUUGCUCAUCACUCUUGCGAUUGAGACCUUUGUCUGAGUGAGCUGUGUGAAUCUGAUGUGUUGAGAUGUCAUCUGCUGGUCAGAAAAGUGCAAGUGAUGAUUGUUGAUUGAGCGCAUAAUUGAAUGCAAUUCAGAGUGAACAAAUUUUAAAUGUGAAAUGAUUUUUUUGGGCUCAUUGCCAUGCUGAUGGACAUCAUCUGUUUCCGUGCAUCAUUCUUUGAAUGGUAACAUACGUGAAGCCUGUAGUGAGCUUGUGCCGUGACUCAGACACAACUGCUCAUGUUCCCUGUAAUGCUGAUGCGCCAUCAUGUGGCAAAACUAUAGAAAAACACAUUCCUGGUACCCAUCACUACUGUUUGUGAAAAUGUUAUUUUAAACCAUAUUACAACUCGUUUGCAAAACUAGGAGUAAUUCACAUUCACUUUUAAUGUGCAGCAUUAAAACAUUUGUACUUGAUAAUGACACAUAUUAAUAAAAGAAGUGCAUCACUUAAAAUAAAGCAAUCUUUUGAAGCUCUGA